AACAACAGGCCUAAAAACUGCAGUGUAAGGCGAUAUUCUAGGAUAAGUAGAAUCAUAAUCUUCCAGAACAUGUUCGUCUCCUAAUCCUGGAGCCCAGAUGCAAUGUUAUCUGGAAAGGGAGACUAUGUUUGUAAGUGGAAUUGUGAGCAAUGUUAGCUGACUUAAUGAUAGAUUAUCCUGGUUCUUCAGGUAGGCCCCAUAGAGUCAAAGGUGUCCUUAACCAUGAAGAGGGGUUUAGAAACAGUAGCAUCAGUGAUGUUCUAUGAGAAGGACUGAGAGCGAUUCCUAACUUUGAAGGCAGGAAGGAACUGUGAGUCAGCAUCUGAAGUUAGUGUCUGGAAUUAGAAAAAUCAAGGAAAUUUACUACCCCUAGGGUCUCCAAGAAGAAUGGAACCUUAGUUUUUGCCCAGUGACAAUUUUUCUUUGUCAUAUAGGAUAAGAAAUGGGAGUCGCCUUAAGCCAGCAAGUAUGUAGCAAUUGAUCACAGCAUCAACAGGAAAUUGAUACAAUCUUUAAUGGCUAAUAUAGUUAAUGAAUACAUUGAGUCUCUUUGAUAUAGGAAAAUAGCAUGGAGAUAAUCUAUGAUAACCUAUGAUGUGGUACUCAACUUAUUAACAGAAACAGAGAUAGGGAUGCAUGCAAGUGGAAGGCAAGAUGAAGAUCAACUAGCUAAGGUCCUUGGUUGCCAUGGUGAUAAUGGUAAGUAUCAAUAGUGUGAUGUAACCUGACCGCUUUCAUCAAUAAUUAAGGUUAUGCAUGGAUAAAUAGAUAAAUUGAAAGCAUUGGAAGGCUGACCAGGGCACAAAUAGGAAACUCAGAAAGUCUGUGUGAAGCCUCUCGAAAGUCGCUGCCUCCCCUGAAAAUGUUCCGUAGAGGUGAGGCUCGACCUAGGGUCUGAGCAUUAUGACAUCAGUGUCUGUCUUGCUAUGGAUCCCUAGGGAUUGCUGGCCAGCCAGUAUAGCUGAAAUGGAGAAUGGUGGGUUCAGUCGGAGAUCCUGUCUCAAAAACUAAGGUGAAGAGGGUAGAGGAAGAGCAGAUCCUUAAGACAUGAAGUGGAAACAUUUGGGCAAACACAGCGAGGCUAAGGCCUUUGAACAUCAACAGCAUCUCAAUCAGUAAUGACAAUGCAGGAAAGGUCUAGCAGAUAAUGGAUCGACUCUUCCCAGGGAUGAUGCCUGACAGACUUGAUAGACACAAGGCAGCCAGCGAACCUGCGUAAUGAUGGUUUCUGUGGAGAGAGAGGACUCCAGAUGCUUCCCAGAAGUGUGAGGAAUUAAUCUGCUGCCCUUAAAUGACCUCCGUGGAACCCUGCAGAAUCACCAUAAGCUGUGUACCCAUGCCACCUCUAGGGCCCCAGGACAGAGGUGAGGAUGUCAGCACAGGCUCAGAAAGCAUGAUUUAGGACCCAGCUUGGGGAUACUCCAGUGGAGGACUAGGAGGGUGUGGCUGGGGCAGGUUUUUAAGGUCAGCCUGAAUCAUCUCUGCUCUCUCUCUCUCUCUCUCUCUCUCUCUCUCUCUCUCUCUCUCCAAGGAUAUUUGUAUAAUCAAGCCUCUGCCAAGAGUGCAUAGUUCACUGUGGUUACUUCUUCCUCAACACUAAAUUCACAAGACACACACACUUAAAGGAGCUCACUAAAGAGAAUAGAAAAGGAGUUGAGACUCUUAUCAUAGGGUGACACAGGAGGAGGCAAGCCCAGGGUGCUAUGGGAAUAGGGGCCUCUUCCCACCUUCCUCCCUCUCUCCUUGGGAAUCGAUUACAGUCCGUGUUAGCGUGCUGCUUGGGUCAGGAGGGGAGAGAGCACAGGUCAUGAAUUCUGUUCCUCGUGGUUCUGUGACAGGCUCACACCGUAAGGCGUUGUCUGGCCAAAGAUGCUGACAAGGUGAAGUUUGAGAAAUGUUGCUUUAAUAGAAUUCCUUCAGUCUGCAGACUCCACACCCAUCCGCUCCAAACGGUGCUCUGUUACUGCCUCUCAGGUAGUCUCCACUUCAGCUUAGCCGAGUGCCUGGCUGGUGUAGGAUACAGGAAGAGGGGAAAGGGUACCGUCAGCAUCUGUUGCAAUAACCUGUCACGGCCAGCAGAGGAGCUGAGGCAGCAGAACAUGAUGGGAGGAAUUUCUGUGCCAAAGAUGGGCCCCUUCAUCAGAAGCCAGGAACUCAACGGGAAUUAAAAGCAUGAUGUAAAAAGAAAUUGCUUUCUGGCUCCAGUUUCUACACUCUGGAGAGAGGAGACCAUGGAAGGACUAGGGGGUAAGCCUGAGUGGCCAGAGAAUCCUCUGGGAUUGGGGCAGGAGAAUCUGUCCACAUGCUCUCCCACAGGUUAAAGGAAAACAGGCAGGAACUCAGGGCUGGUUCUGCUUGCUUCCUUCUCCUCUGGGCCUCCUUCUCCAACCCAUAAGCCUCGUAACCAGUGUCCCUAGUGUCUCCUCAUGAGAUUGUCAGACAGCUGAGAGGACUGGCCUGUCAGGAGGACCAUGAGGUGAGAGGAUCUGGAAGAGGUGACUCAGAAUUGUUGGGAAAACCAAAACCAGUCAGUCAGUCUGGGCUGGAAGCAUGGCUUGGUUGAAAAUGGCUCCUUCAAGGUACAUGUUCCCACCAACAUGUGCUCUAUGACUCUGCUAAGUCAAGGUCUCACUCAAGCCCCAUUCAAAGCCACUCUACAUACACGUAUUACUUGUAAAAUACAGUAAUGAAGAGUCAAGACAUCUCUGUGGAGUUCAGAAAAAGUCUUGAUCGGAUCCUGGAGUAACAGAAGUCAAAUUCUCAUUGGAAACAACAAUCAGUGCCAUGUUCCUACAUCCAAUUCAUUAUCGAAGAUGGCAUCACCCAUCCUCGAGGUGUGUUACAUGGGCUUGUUUCUGCAGAAGUAUCAACUUUGAACACCUCCAAUGUUGUUGUAAAAAUAUAAAAAAUAAAAAAGGUGUUGUUGUCUUUUACCUCACUAGGUCCGCACAGUGGUGCCCCAAGAUAUCUGCUAGAUAUCUUGGCGGAAACACAUCCCAGCCACACACUUUCCUACACUCAAAUCCUCACACAAAAGAACACACAACACAAUAAUCUUAGAUCCAAUUGAUAAGAUACAAUUGCCCACUUAAACAUACAAAGCCCGAUACCAUCCAUCCCUUGAGAACAUUAAUAACAACCUGUAAAUACACAGAGCAGAAUCUUAACAUCACCUGCCAUGGCUUCUCUCCCCCUCCUCUGUCCUGCCUCUCCUUUCUGUUCUAGUCUCCUCCUCUUCCUUCAAACUUCUUUCCCGCCCAUCCUUCCUUCUCCUCCAAUGACAGGCCUUCUUCUAUCCUGUACCUGCCCCUCACCUGUACUUUACAAAUUCAAUGGGGAGGUUCACCUGAUUCCUGAGUACCUGACUAGGCAGCUGUCCUUGGGGCAGUGGAAUUAACAUCAAAAUACAGAUAACUUCAGGGCAAACCACAACACUCUGAACUCUCACUUAUUCAUGGUGCCUAUCUUACCGGGUGGUUUGGUGCCCAGGGACUCUGGUAGGAGGUGGUACAACCUCGAAAGUGCUAGUAGCACAGACAAAUUUACACCACAACUUGCAACACUGUCUUAGAAGUCCUUUUACCUUUUGUAUCUAUUAACCCAGGAAUAAAUAGCCUUCCAUUUUGAAGGGAGAGAAAAGUUGUUCACAUUGUGUUGUUCAUGUUAAGGGCACCGUCUUGAAUAAUUUUUGCCGUUGUUCUGGUGUUUACUCUUUGAAUGGCUGUCAGAGUCAAUAUUAUUUGGCCAUAUUGCAGAAGAGGAGACCAAGACUCUCGAUACUACUGUAAUAAUUGAGUAAGAGUUUUGCACGAAUGUGUGUGUGUGUGUGUGUGUGUCUGUGUGUGCUAGUGCAUGCAUGUGCAUGCACACCCAUGUUCAUGUUCAUGUGGGUGUGCAUGUGUAUGUUCAAGGCCAGAGGUUGGAAUCAGGUGUCUUCCUUCUUUAAAUUUUAUUUUACUUUAUUAGUUUGUUGAGAUAUUGUUUCUCACUGGCCUUGUAGGUCACUGAUUGUCUAGAUUGGGUGUCCAAUGAGCUCUAGGGAUCCUCCUAUGUCUGUUCCCAUCAAGUUCUAGGAUUAUAGGCGUGUGCUGCUGCACCUAGAUCUUAUGUAGAUACUGGAGCUCCAGUCUCGGGGCCUCAUGCUUGCACAGUGUGCACCUUAUGAACAGAGCCGUUCCCCCCAGAGCAGGGGCUCUCAACCUUCCCAACGCUGUGACCCUUUCACACAGUUCCUCACAAUGUGGUGACCCCCAUCCAUAAAAUUAUUUUUGCUGCUACUUCAUACCUGUAAUUUUGCUACGUUAUACACCAUAACGUAAAUAUCUGAUAUGCAGGACAUUUGACACAUGAGCCCUGUGAAAUGGUCAUUCAGCUCCUCAAGGGAGUCUCCACCCACAAGUCAAGAAGUGCUGCUCUAGCCCCUUGAGCAGUUUUUGUUUUGUUUUUAAUUCGGUGCCUUCUAUAUCAGGAGCUGAGCUGUACUCAGCUGUACAGGAAAUGAAUGCCACACCAUUCCUGUAGGACAUACACUUAGUCACUUAUUAGAAAUGUUAGACUGGAGGUGAGGUCUUUGAGGGCUUUCUGUGGAGCUAGGAACAAUGUCACAGAGAUGUGACACCAGUUGAAGGAACAGGGGUCUUCCAGUCACCCUGUCUCACCAGUGCCCGAAUCUUGUCCUGUUACACAGUGAGGACUCCAGUUUCCAUGGAAACUCCCCACAGUCUAAUUAGACUACAGUUUAUAAAUUUAAAUCAGGGAGAACUUGACAUUCUCUGCUGCACGAUGGAGAUUUCUUGCUGUCGUGUGGCUCAUGAGGACAUUUGGGAGGAGACCCCAGAACAGGAUUGAUUAAAAACAGGUUACCAGAUAGGUGUCGCCACCGACAUGGGGUGCCACAUGGGCAAUGGAGUCAUCUAUGUCGUCCACCAACCCUACCUAAUCUAUAGGUACUUUGAAAUCUCAGCAGCCUGGAGGGCAUUUCUAGAACAGUCAUGGAGGAGAGAUUACUGUUUAUUGGUAGGGAACUAGACAGUUUUGUGAAUGUGGGAGGGACCUCCUCUAAGAUUUCUCCAGUUAUCAGUUGACAUUGAAAGGAAGAUGUUUGAGAAAGCACAUAGUAGGCCCAGGUGUUACAUGGUGGCAAUUGUCAUCACAGAGUGGGACUUUCCUAUUGUGACAUUCUCCAGGUACACAUUGCUGUAUCACUCAUCUUAAAGGACAUCCAAGUGUGCUUCUUAUCCCGGUGGGUUACUCUGAAUGAAAUGUGACUUCAAACUAAGGUCUUUAAUAUAAGCAUUGUCCAGUGCAAGAAAUCAGCAUGUGGCCAACAGCUACAUGCUUACAUGAGGCCUGGGGACCCUUGCUCUACAAAAUGAAGGAAAAACUACCCCCACAGGACUUGCCUGGGGACCUUACGGAAUAUUAAUGUGGCAGGUUCAUAAUAGGCAAUAUAGUUCAUUUUAAUUAGGAUCCCACAGCCCUAGAAAUUAAGUUGGAAUAGAUCUGUGAGUAAUCUGGCCUAUCACCUUUCAUGGCCCCACUCCCCUGCAAGAUUGUUCCCUGGGGCAGGCUCACUAGCUCGGGACUCAGUCUAAAUUCAAAUGACUGCAGCUAGGAGGUUUACAUCAUCACCCUUGGGAAACUAUCACACAGUCUAAUGGAUUUCACCGUGAUUACCUCCCUUCCCCCCAGCGAUCCAUCCCAAAUUUCUCUAUGUUUAAAUCUGUCUCUUUUCUUCUUAUGGUGUAUCGUCAGGUUAGGAAAAAGUCACGAAGAACAAUGUAAAUAGCCAAGAUUUCACCUUCUGGUCUCUAGCACCAAAAUGGGAUUGGUCCCGAUGGUCUCUGUUUAGAAUGUUGUAGGCAAACUGAACACCAUUGCCUUUUAUACUCACAUAUGAUCGUUCCCUUUUCUUGGGAAAGCAGUUCUGUGUUUGCAGUCAUGAUAAAGGCAUGCUUGACAUGAUUCACUCCGCCCUGUCCCUCUGAUCUCCCUCAGAAACAACAGCACAUCGCCCAGGACGAGGUGCUCUCUGCAUUUGGAGAACAGAGGAAAAACAUUCUCACUUUGGGAGCAUGGAACUGAUGAUUCAGUCUUUCUUAAUCGCCUACCAACCAGCCAAGCUACCUGAUCAUAUUGCAAGUCCUCGGGUGACACCAGAACUUUAGACCUUCAAGUUGAACAAGAAAGACUGGGUCUUUUCCCUGUCACAAUGCUCUCCCUCUCGUAUGUGCAAACAGAGAGGCAGGAACCAGUAGAAACUAGAGGAAAGAUAGCAGCGGGGGUGUAGAGAAAGCACUUGUAUCAGCAUCCCCUAUUUAUAACACAUAAUGGAGUCUCAAUACAUGGCCGGUCUGCAACUCAUUAGGUCUCCUUAAUUAAAGAGGAUGGCCUCCUGGCGGCUUUAUUUCCUUGGGUUUGCAUUUGAUGAUUAUGAUCACCACAAUAUGAACGAGACGGUCAUGUCCUGUUCUGAGAGAGGACCAUUCUUCUGAGGGGCAAUGAUGCUGGGAAAACACUAAUGAGUUCGGAGCAUAGCCGCGGUCAAAUCGCAGCUCCCGACUGACCCACAAGCUAGGUUUCCUGACACAGUCCUCCUGAGUGAUUGUGCAAAGUGUAACUGUGGCAGAGCAAUCAGAUAGGAAGGAAACGAUGCUCUACGGUGUCUGAAUGAUGACAAGAGCAUAGUGUGCAGAUGACCACACACCUUUCUAUCUUGUUGCAUCUACUUCUGGACUCUUGGCCUUCAUCCACUGCUGUGUCUCUUACACUUCCUCCUACGUCAGGCUUGCCUUUCAUCUUUGUUUAUGGCCUAUUUCAGUAAAAGGUAAUUUAUUUAUGUUUAUGUAUGUGCAUAUACCACUGCUGUCUCCAGACACACCAGAAGAGGGCAUCAGAUCCCCAUCACUAAUGGUUGUGAGCCACCGUGUGGUUUCUGAGAAUUGAACCCAGGACCUCUGGAAGAGCAGUCAGUGCUCUUAACCGCUGAGCCAUCUUGCUAGACCAGACUUUGACUUUCAUGUAAACCUUUUCAAAUGCAUUUAGACUUGGGUUCUGUGCCGUGUGUGGCCUCUUCUUAGUUCAUCUCUUCCUUGCUUUACAAUACCGGAUCUUCACUAAUGUGUUUUGUGCUGCCCGUUGUCCUCCAUUUUACUUAUAAACAAGUUCUAUCUGAUUUAAUUUCUCUAAAAUCUAACGGUAUGUGUCAACUUGAUUGGAAAAUGGGUGCCCAGGUAGACAGUAAAAUAUAAUUUCUGGAUGUGUCUGUGAAGAUGUGUUCUAGGAGAUGGAAGCAUUUGAAUCAGCUGACUGAGUAGAGAUGAGCUGCCCUUUGCUAUGGGUGUCAUCCAAACCAAGGACGUAAACAGAGCAAGAGGACAGGUGUAAGUGAGAGAAAGGGACUUUGCCUUGCUGGGUGGGGGGCCCAGUUCCUGCUGCCUUUGGAUGAUGGUGUUUCAUGUUGUAAAGCCUUUCUGAGCCUUGGUUUGUGAGUAGCAGGUUUCAGGACUUCUCAGUCACCAUAAUCCAUGAGCCAAUUCCUCUUACUAGAUGCUGUAGCGGUAAUCUGGCUAACCACUCUGUGCUCCCGACAGGUGCGUGCACCAGUUAAUUUUAAAUAUGCCUUGACUAGCUCAAAGGCUGGGCAGUUCUAAUCCUCCCCACCGCUAGCAAACGAUUCCCCCGGUACUCCUGACUUAAUGCCCUCUAAUUUAUAUUUUAUCGUUGUUGUCCUAGCUCCUUCUGGGUGGCCCCCUAAUCUUUGCUGCCUAGGACGCUUCUGAGCAGCUCUUCUUACCUACAUUUCAGAUGAUUUUACUUCUGCAGCUCUAAAUCUGAUCGGUCUCCUUCUGAAUCAUGGUGAUUCUCCCCUCCUUUCACCCACGCAAUCUAAAGGUCCCACCUCAGUCUACCUGUCCAGCCAUUGGCCAUUGGCUCUUUACUGAACAUAAAAAAAAAUGGAGACAGGGAGCUUCAGCGUUUGGACAUGCAGAUUCCCAAUUUGGGGGUGGUGGUGGUGGUGGAUAAAUCAAAGCAUUAGAACCAAUCCUCAAUAUCUCACAUUUUCUGUCCAAUUUUUUUUUUUAAAAAAGGAAGGCUCUUCUCUCAGAUAUAGAGCAUAACCAUAACAAUUGUGUAAAUUACAAAGUAUGACAUACAAUUAACAUAUUUGUAAAUUAGAUAAAGUAUAAUCUAUACUCAAAUUGUUUAUAUUUUUGCCUGUAUCAUCAUCUGAAAACCAUCCUUUUAACUCUGUAUCAUCUCCCUCAAUGCUAAACAAUUUGAGUUUGAUUAUGAGACUAUAACUAGUCUUCCACCCCACCAGAAACCCAAGAAUGAAUUCUAUAUUACCUGAAUAUUUAGGAAACACAAAAACAUAGCUUUUCUGAGCCUUGGUUUGUAAGUGGUAGGUUUGAGGACUUCUCAGCCUCCAUAAUCCCAUGAGCCAAUUCCUCUUAAUAGACACCACCCCCUCAUCUAUGUAGGCCUCACUGGUUCUGUUGUUCCAGAAAACCAUGACUAACCCAAAUAUUGUAAGAAGUCCUGGUGUCUCGUGAGACAAGUCUACCUUGUUAUUUUUCCAAAAUUGUCCCCCAUUAUCCUUUGUCCUUUGAUUUUCAUAUAAAAAAUUGAUUCAGCUCUUCCAGUGGCAUAAGGGUAGGGAUAAAGAUAUCAUAAGAUUAUAGGAUUAUAGACACUUGAGCUGACUUACGCUGCUACUUUGAGAUGCUACUAAAUACACUAAAGAACGAGUUACCUGUGCUAACUCACUUAACACCAUGGUAUUCUGGGAGGUGGGCACUUGUCAUUACCCCCUCAGUUCAGACGAUGGGAGUGGGGGAUGGGAGGAUUAAGUAAUUUAACUGGGAUUCUAGAUUACAAGGCAUUUAGCGCACAGGCUUAAAUCCAUUGUCAUGUGAGAUUACAUACCCAUAAGUGGUAUCUCUGAUGCCAAAUGAUUAUAUAUGAGCUCAACACUAUGUAUAAUUCAGAGCUUCUCUGGGCAUUCAAAAACUCAAAAACUGUAGUGCAUUCACUAGCAAGGUGAGUAAUUUAAAAUCAUUAUCAAAUCAUGUCACCAAAGAAGACACUAAGGCACAGAGGGUACAUGCUCUAAUGCCCUUUACAAAUCCUACUGCAGAAGACUUAACCUGAACAUGCGGGGAUGAAGAACUUCCCCACAUAACAGCUUCCUCUUCCACUCCUCAUUGUUUUCUGAGCUGACAGCUCUUAGCAGACAAUUGGAUAAUACAACCAAACAGCACAGGGUACUCCUGGUCCCAGGGCAAAGACCUUCGCCUUCCAUGAAGCAUGGAGCUGUUGCGGUAUAAUUAAAAAAGGUUUCUCUUAUUCCACACUAGUGCUGGCACCGUAGGGCCACAUGGCAUCUGUGAAUAUUUUCAUCUCAGUCAGCAAAGCGUCUCACCCACUAAGCUCCAUCCCAUCACACUGCUGAUGGCUACUCUCUGAGCCCAGCGAUAAUCUCUCUACCCAUCUAGUUCCCAAGGCAGGUUGUCACCAUGCCAGAAAUAUACAUGCCAAUUCUGUGGUGGCCCAGUGUCCUGCCACCACACACUCUCUUGAACUCAAUUAAAAUCACCACAUGAAAGAACACACCACAAGAUAACCUCUGAUCUAAUUGUUAAGAUAUAACUGCCCACCUGAAUAGGAUGUAGUUUGCUCAUCUAGACAUACAAAGCCCUGUACAGUCCAUCCCUUAAGAAUAAUCAUAACAACCUGUAAAUGUACAGAGAGAAAUCUUAACAAACAUCCGCUGCCAUGUUCUUUCUCAGCUGCUCCCUUCUCCUCCAGUUUCCUCCUCCUCUAAAACUUUUCUCCCGCCCAUCCUUCCUUCUCAUCCAAUGACAGGCCUCGCUCUAUCCUUUCACCUGCAUAAUGACACCAUCCUACAGGAACUAAGCAAAUGGAAACAUACCUUGAGAUGGCUAAGUUGGUAAAGUGUUUGCUAUGCAUGAGAAACUGAGUUCAGAUCCACAGGACCCACAUAAAAAGCAGGGCGCAGCAACGUACCCCAGUAAUGCUACCAGCAUUGAGGUGGAGACACAAAGUCCCCCAGGGGGUGGUUAACUAUCUAGCCUAGCUUAAGGGACAAGUUCCAGGCUCACUGGGAGACUCUGUGAAAAGCUAGGGUUGGAGAAUAGUUAUGGUGGGCACCUGAUGUCAAUCUCUGACCUCUACACGCAUGGAUACCCGGGCACAAGGUGUGCAAGCACUGGCACACAUGCAGCCUGUGGUCUCUGGGAUGCACAGUGACACUUUCGCUGAUAUUAAAACUUACUGGUGGUACAGAAUGUGGCACCACCUAAGAGAACUCCCUCACCUGUGAUCCCUGCCAAUCAACAGGACAUGUACGUUUCCUAGGAAGUCUGUGAGAAAAGCUGCCAGUCUGGCGACGCUGAGAGUGAGCCUGCCGGAGCAGAUUACAUGGACAGCAAUUAAAAAGCAAACAUUGGUUAGGAGCUGUCGAGUGAGCCAAAGAGAAGUGUGUCAGAAGGAGCUGCUUGCCAACUCCAGCUGCUGGUUAGAGUUCGCAGUGUUCUGUACAAAUCUCUUCUAGGCCUCCUGUGUGCCCACUGACUUUGCACAAGCCACUCCGAGUGGCUCUGUUUCAUUAUCUAUAAGUGGCGCUCUCCAUGAGGAAAGGGAAUGAGCCUGGACUGAAGGAGCUUAAACCUGAGGAUGGCAGAGGUGCACCACUUCUGGGUGCACAGAUGGUGAGGUAGCAGUUAGGGAGGGGUCACAGGAUGAGUUCAGUAGAACAUUCGCUGGAGUCCUUGAGAGCUGUAUUCUCUACACCGUUAUCUGCUAGGCACCUUUGGCAACUCGUGUAACUAAAGAGUGUUCAUUCAGGAAAGUUACAGAGAGUUGUGAAACAUCUAGGGGAAGAGAAGUCGCAUGUUACAGUAUCCUUGCUGAAAGUCAGAGAGAGGAGAGAGAGGAGAGAGAGGAGAGAGAGGAGAGAGAGAGAGGAGAGAGAGAGAGAGAGAGAGAGAGAGAGAGAGAGAGAGGAGAGAAAGAGAAGAGAGAAACAGAGAGACAGAGAGAGACAGAGACAGAGAGACAGAGAGAGACAGAAACAGACAGAGAGACAGAGAGAGACAGAGACAGAGAGACAGAGAGACAGAAACAGAGACAGAGACAGACAGAGACAGAGGCAGAGAGAGACAGAGACAGAACAGACAGAGAGAGACAUUACUUUCUUCAGGCUCCAUUGGAAGAGACAGUAAAAUAUACAGAAAUUUAAAACACACCUGUUUUGUGGAAGUCUAUAAUAAAGAGGACUAUAAUGGUCCUCUAUUUUCUGGAGUUAGAGUCCAAACCCUCAACUAGUAGCUGCAUGAGACUGUGGAUAGAUAUAUAUUCUGCUUGCUGUACAUCCUGUGCAUACCUAUGGCAAGGUUUAACUUGUAAAUUAGACACAGUAAAUGAUGGAAAUAAUAAAAUACAGCAGUUAUAAUGUUAUUAGUUGUAUGAGCAUACUCUCUGUUUCUGGGGUUUCUUGUCCUCCUUGUCAUAUAAUGCUAUGGGAUGGCACAGUUCCUAGGUAAAAGGAUGAAGGCAGGUCACUGUGACAUUAAGCUACCACAUACUGGUCACUUGACCAUAAGCACUGUGAUAUUAUGACAGUUGGUCUUGUAACUGAGCAGCUACUAAGUAACUAUUGGGAGAAUAGCACAUACAAUGUGGAUACACUGGAUAAAAGGAUGAUUGACAUCCCGAGGGGGAUGGAACUGAGCCGCAUAAGACUUUAAUACACAAUAAUGAGUGGCAUACAAUGUAAAACUAGCACAUUUUUAUUUCUCUGAAUAAACUAGUGACUUAUUUGAUAUUUAAUAUCUUCAGAACAUGGUUGACCUCUGGUAACUGAAAUAAAAUCAUGGAGAAGAGCCACUGUGAGGUGGCAGAAGAAGGAGGGUGUCACACUAAGUUACAGUUGGUACCGGAGCCAGUGGUGGAGGGACAAGCGGAGGAGGCACGGUGGAAGACUUAUUCAUAUAUGUGGGGACUGGAGUUUAUGCACUCAAAGAUGACAACCCUGGUGGGAGAAGACAGGCCCGAGAGUGAAAGGCCAGUCUUCUGCCCUGGCUCUGCCAUCUCCUGAGAGCAAGAUGGAAAGUGAUCCCUGAAACCCCGCCCACUUUGAGGGCAAGAUGGAAAGUGAUCCCUGAAACCCCGCCCACUUUGAGGGCAAGAUGGAAAGUGAUCCCUGAAACCCCGCCCACUUUGAGGGCAAGAUGGAAAGUGAUCCCUGAAACCCCGCCCACUUUGAGGGCAAGAUGGAAAGUGAUCCCUGAAACCCCGCCCACUUUGAGGGCAAGAUGGAAAGUGAUCCCUGAAACCCCGCCCACUUUGAGGGCAAGAUGGAAAGUGAUCCCUGAAACCCCGCCCACUUUGAGAGACCUGACUUGGCCAUGCUCCAUUUUUCAGAGAAAAAUGUCUUGACCUUUAGGAAAGAGUAACAGGAAGGAAGCAGUAAAAACCAGAUGCCUCGGUUCAGGUGGGAAGCAGGGAGAUAAUGUGGCGAUUUGUGCCGCCAGGUGAAGACUUCUAGCUGAGCUUCCCUGCAGACCAGAAUUAUAAACCUGAUCUCACAACUGUCAACCAAAACAGCCCUUCUGAGCUGCCCACUGACAGGCUGCUCCAUGGCCUGUGGCUUCUAGCAUGCUGAUUUGGACCCCAGGAGAUGUCUUUAAAAUCAAAACAAAGCCAUUCCUCAGAAAAUUGGACAUUCCACUACCCAAGGACCCAGCUAUACCUCUCCUGGGUAUACCCAAAAGAUGCUCUAAUAUACAACAAAACACAGGCUUCACUAUGUUCAUAGCAGCCUUAUUUAUAAUAGCCAGAAGCUGGAAAGAACCUAGAUGCCCUUCAACAGAGGAAUGGAUUAAAAAAAUGUGGUACAUCUACACAAUGGAGUACUACUCAGCUAUCAAAAACAAUGACUUCAUGAAAUUCAUAGGCAAAUGGAAUGAACUAGAAAAUAUCAUCCUGAGGUAACUCAAUCACAGAAAAACACACUUGGUAUGCACUCAUUGAUAAGUGGAUAUUAGCCAAAAGGCUCAAAUUACCCAAGAUGCAAUUCACAGACCACAGGAAGCUCAAGAAGAAGGAUCACCAAAAUGCCGAUGCUCCCACUCCUUCUUAAAAGGGGAAAAAUAUCCAUAGGAGGGGAUAUGGAAGCAAAGUUUAGAGCAGCGACUCAAGGAAAGGCCAUUCAGAGCCUGCCCCACAUGUGGCCCAUAUAUAUAUAUACGGCCACCAAAACUAAAUAAGAUUGAUGAAGCUAGAAAAUGCAUGCUGAAAGGGACCAGAUAUAGAUCUCUCCUGAGAGACAGAACCAGAGCAUGUCCAAUACAGAGGUCAACACUAGCAGCAAAUCACUGAACUGAGAACAGGACCCCCUUGGGGGGAAUUAGAGGAAGUAUUGAAAGAGUUGAAGGAGUUUGCAACCCCAUAAGAACAACAAUGCCAACCAACCAGAGCUUCCAGGGACUAAACCACUACCGAAAGACUAUACAUGGACUGACCCAGGGCUCCAACUGCAUAUGUAGCAGAGAAUAGCCUUGUUGGGGCAUCAGGGGAAGGGGAAGCCCUUGGUCCUGCCAAGGUUGGACCCCCAGU